rnacentral:pre_miRNA from 1 species
GAGACACCCCUCUGGGGCAAGACUUGCUUCAAUGGGGCUUUGGUGCUCACUGAAUCUGCCCCCUGAGUGUGUCCUU